rnacentral:rRNA from 1 species
UCCGUAGGGUGAACCUGCGGAGGGAUCAUUACUGAGUUUUCAACUCUCCAACCCGUGUGAACGUACCUACCGUUGCUUCGGCGGCCCGCCCCGGGAGCCAUCACGGCGCCCCGGAACCCAGGCGACCGCCGGGGGACCGAAACUCUUGCUUCUUACGGAAUCUUCUGAGUGGAAUCAUGACAAAUGAAUCAAAACUUUCAACAACGGAUCUCUUGGUUCUGGCAUCGAUGAAGAACGCAGCGAAAUGCGAUAAGUAAUGUGAAUUGCAGAAUUCAGUGAACCAUCGAAUCUUUGAACGCACAUUGCGCCCGCCAGUAUUCUGGCGGGCAUGCCUGUCCGAGCGUCAUUUCAACCCUCGAGAACCCCUCCGGGGGGGACCGGUGUUGGGGAUCGACCGUCCGCAGCGGCGGUCGUCCCCUAAACGCAGUGGCGGUCACGCCGUAGCCUCCCGCGCGCAGUAGCUAACUCUCGCGCGAGGAGAGCGGCGCGGCCACGCCGUGAAACCCCAACUUCACCAAGGUUGACCUCGGAUCAGGUAGGAAUACCCGCUGAACUUAAGCAUAUCAAUAAGCGGAAGAA